GAUGAACGCUGGCGGUAUGCUUAACACAUGCAAGUCGAACGGACUCUUCGGAGUUAGUGGCGGACGGGUGAGUAACGCGUGAGAAUCUGGCUUUGGGUUCGGGACAACCACUGGAAACGGUGGCUAAUACCGGAUGUGCCGAGAGGUAAAAGAGAAAUUGCCUGAAGAUGAGCUCGCGUCUGAUUAGCUAGUUGGUGAGGUAAAGGCACACCAAGGCAGCGAUCAGUAGCUGGUCUGAGAGGAUGACCAGCCACACUGGGACUGAGACACGGCCCAGACUCCUACGGGAGGCAGCAGUGGGGAAUUUUCCGCAAUGGGCGAAAGCCUGACGGAGCAAUACCGCGUGAGGGAAGAAGGCUCUUGGGUUGUAAACCUCUUUUCUUAGGGAAGAACAAAAUGACGGUACCUAAGGAAUCAGCAUCGGCUAACUCCGUG
rnacentral:rRNA from 1 species